AUUGAACGCUGGCGGCAUGCCUUACGCAUGCAAGUCGAACGGCAGCACGGACUUCGGUCUGGUGGCGAGUGGCGAACGGGUGAGUAAUAUAUCGGAACAUACCUUGUAGUGGGGGAUAACUAUCCGAAAGGAUAGCUAAUACCGCAUACGCUCUAAGGAGGAAAGCGGGGGAUCGUAAGACCUCGUGCUAUAAGAGUGGCCGAUAUCUGAUUAGCUAGUUGGUGAGGUAAAGGCUCACCAAGGCGACGAUCAGUAGCUGGUCUGAGAGGACGACCAGCCACACUGGAACUGAGACACGGUCCAGACUCCUACGGGAGGCAGCAGUGGGGAAUUUUGGACAAUGGGGGCAACCCUGACCCAGCAAUGCCGCGUGAGUGAAGAAGGCCUUCGGGUUGUAAAGCUCUUUUGUCAGGGAAGAAACGGUUGUGGCUAAUAUCCAUGGCUAAUGACGGUACCUGAAGAAUAAGCACCGGCUAACUACGUGCCAGCCGCCGCCGUAAGAC
rnacentral:rRNA from 1 species